UACGUAGGGUGCGAGCGUUGUCCGGAAUUAUUGGGCGUAAAGAGCUCGUAGGCGGUCCGUCACGUCGGGGUGUGAAAAUCAGGGCUCAACUCUGGACCUGCACCCGAUACGGGCGGACUAGAGUUCGGGUAGGGGAGACUGGAAUUCCUGGUGUAGCGGUGAAAUGCGCAGAUAUCAGGAGGAACACCGGUGGCGAAGGCGGGUCUCUGGGCCGAUACUGACGCUGAGGAGCGAAAGCGUGGGGAGCAAACAGG
rnacentral:rRNA from 1 species